GAUGAACGCUGGCGGCGUGCCUAAUACAUGCAAGUCGAGCGAACAGAUGAGGAGCUUGCUCCUCUGACGUUAGCGGCGGACGGGUGAGUAACACGUGGAUAACCUACCUAUAAGACUGGGAUAACUUCGGGAAACCGGAGCUAAUACCGGAUAAUAUAUUGAACCGCAUGGUUCAGUAGUGAAAGACGGUUUUGCUGUCACUUAUAGAUGGAUCCGCGCCGCAUUAGCUAGUUGGUAAGGUAACGGCUUACCAAGGCGACGAUGCGUAGCCGACCUGAGAGGGUGAUCGGCCACACUGGAACGGAGACACGGUCCAGACUCCUACGGGAGGCAGCAGUAGGGAAUCUUCCGCAAUGGGCGAAAGCCUGACGGAGUAACGCCGCGUGAGUGAUGAAGGUCUUCGGAGCGUAAAACUCUGUUAUUAGGGAAGAACAAAUGUGUAAGUAACUAUGCACGUCUUGACGGUACCUAAUCAGAAAGCCACGGCUAACUACGUG
rnacentral:rRNA from 1 species